GACGAACGCUGGCGGCGUGCUUAACACAUGCAAGUCGAACGGAAAGGCCCUGCUUUUGUGGGGUGCUCGAGUGGCGAACGGGUGAGUAACACGUGAGUAACCUGCCCUUGACUUUGGGAUAACUUCAGGAAACUGGGGCUAAUACCGGAUAGGAUCUCCUGCUGCAUGGUGGGGGUUGGAAAGUUUCGGCGGUUGGGGAUGGACUGGCGGCUUAGCAGCUUGUUGGUGGGGUAGUGGCUUACCAAGGCGUUGACGGGUAGCGGGCCUGAGAGGGUGACCGGCCACAUUGGGACUGAGGUACGGCCCAGACUCCUACGGGAGGCAAUAGGGGGGAAUAUUGAACAAUGGGCGGAGGGCUGAUGCAGCAGCGCCGCGUGCGGGAUAACGGCCUUCGGGUGAUAAACCGCUUUCGCCUGUAACGACGCGUGAGUGACGGUAAUGGAUAAAGAAGCACCGGCUAACUACGUG
rnacentral:rRNA from 1 species